AUUGAAAUCUGUGAUUUAGCUUCACUCGCAGGGAUUUAUGUGCCUCCUAAGAAAUUCUGACAGCCUCCCUCCUGACACGUGAAGUCUCACUGCUGUGACUCUACAGAAUGUACUGUGGAAGCUUGUUCUAGUUAUAGUGGAACAAGAAAUUGAAAAGUGGUGGUGGAGAUCUCAAAAACAUUGCAACUAAUUGUAAAGCAGCCUUUGGUUAAAACAAGGGUAUCACACGGGCCUUGAUCUUACAGUCUGAUCAGCAUUCAGAGACCUCCUCCUUUUCACAUCAGACUGCAAGAUAAUUUCUGGAUCACAUAGAGACCAUGCUGCAUUUAGACCAAAACAACUCACCCUCUACACAGAUGCUAUCACAAAUGGCCAUGGUAGCUCUGUUUAUAGUAUUAGCUUUUUGGAUAUAGCUUUUCAAACGCAAAUGCCCACUUUUAGGAAUUCAGCUCAUAACAACAGACUAUGUAUAGUAACUGCAUUUUCUUUUCACUACUUGGAGUAUUGAUGCCUGGUGUAUAUCAACUGUUUAAUGGAGGUGGCCCAGGCUCAAAAAUGAUAGUCUUUAAAAGGUCUGAGAUGGUCUGUCUUAGGUAGAAGAAAUAAUACUUCUUUUUCUACCACUGUACUUUAUGUGAGCUCAGCUACAGACCCAAAAAAAACCCUUAAGUGCCUAAGUAGCUCCUUAAAAUCUCCAUUAGAUAUUUUGGUGGAUCAGCGUCAUGUGAGAAAGUAUUAAAUGCCUUUUCUCUUAGACAUCUGAGCAUUGGUUACACACAGAGAAGUGAUUUGGCUGGCAGUUUGGGAGGUAAGCUGUCAUUAAGCUGUGGGCUUUCAGAAGAUUCCCUGAUAGCAUUUCUGCAGCAACUGACAGUGCUAAUUUUGUAAGUGUACUCCAGCUCUUUUUAAGAUCAUCUUGCUGGUGCAGCACAGAUUAAAUGUGCAGCUCCAAUGUGUUGUUAUGAGAUGCCUUUUAAAAUUCUAUUGACAGCCUCUGGUGUAGAAACUUAGCCAUCUGCUGCCGUCUGAAAGCAUAGGAGGGAAAAUCUAUAGCUGGUGUAAAUCCAGGCAAAUCUUGCUGAGGAGGAGUUUGUCCCAAAGCUGCUAAAUGGCAGACUAGACAAAUACUAUGACAGUGUUUUUGUGAAGAUAUCAGUCUCUGGGGUGCAACAUCCCUUUCCAGCUUGGGAAAUGCUUUGGGGUGUAAUAUAUGAUUAUUUUUCUACAUAGUUAACAGUGAAGUAUAUCAGGUGUUGUUUCUCCACAGGGGAUUAUCUGCAUUACAGCUUCAAGACAUUAGAUUCUAUACAGAUAAAUCUUGAUGAUGGACUAAAGCUUUACCAGGCAAGCAUCUCACAAGGAGGACUAGGAUAAUAUUUAAAAUCAAAAGACUAUUGCAGAAAACAGUAACUUUGUGUCAUUGUCCUGCAUCUAUCUGGUUUGAGUUUACUGCGUCCGUACAGUUGCCAUAGUAGAAAUGACUCCUGAAAAGAGAUUUGGGACUAUGAGCAGUAGUGGCCUUCUGGGGACUGUGCCUGCUGUCAUGAGAGCAUGAGGUGGGUGAAGGGGACCCAAAAGCUGGAGAAGAAUAAGAAAAGAUGCUACAGUGCUGAAGAUGAGAGUUCUAGGGGAAAAGAGGUGAGGUUGCUGUUUUGACUAGGCACAAUUCAGUUGUGUUCUGCAUUAUUGACUUCAGUUAACUUUAAUGGAUUUGCAGAAUAUGAAUUGCAAACAGAGAACUACUUCCUCAGAACCUCUGCUUCUCAGCUCAUAACAGCUGAGGUAAAAGAUCUCUUCUUUAAUGAGCAAAGCUAGUGGCAGAUGCUCUUUUAUUUCUGAAAUCAGAUCUUUAUGAUCAUCACCACUUAGCAACUGUCAAAGAAUAGUGUCUCACACAGGGCAGCCACCUGCCAUGGGUUCUGGACCCAACUGCUGUGACGUGAAGCAAGAUCAUCUAUCCCGACUCCUGGCUCUUGGGAGGAACUGGUGCAACUUGUGCUGAACUUGGCAGACUUAUCUCUUCCCACUUUCUCUGGGAAUAAGAAACUGCUCGGUCCGAUGGUGCACAGAAAGGAGGUCAAUAGAGUGCAGUGAAGCAGAAACAGAGUGAGGAUUACUGUUAUAGUGGAUAAUUUCCAGAUACUCUUCAUCUCUACUUUUCUGCUGCACAGCUAGGCCUACCAUCUCCAAAGCAUUUGAUGAAUUUCUUCCUCCUACUUGGUGCUAAGCUUCUGCAAAACAGCCAUGUGUUGCUACCUAGCAUUAAUAUUACGCUGUCAAGUGGUGAUGAAGUAAGUAGCUAUGUGAGUGUUUCACACUGUCAGACAAGAAGGUAUCAAGUCAACAACAAGCCUUUGUUGGGUGCAGCACUUAGAUUGCAGCCAUCUCAUGCUUCCAACUGUAAAUAUUAAUGGUAUAAGUUAGACCUUUAUUGGCUACAUAAUACUUGCCUUAGCACGCUACAUGACACUGUCACAUUACUUAGUUAAUGAUAUUCCUUGAUAAAAAUUUCGAGUAUGUUUAUAUCCUAGUGUUUGUUGUUUUUUCUACUAGAUGAUGAUCAGAGAAGACUUACGUCAGUACGUUUUAUAUUCAAGAAAGACUUUGGAAGAGAUGCAUACUUGGAAAGUGUAAAUGAAAUUCUUAUAAAAAUUUGUAGAGCUCUACAUCAAUAAUCACUCCUUGAAAUCCUAUUUUAAUUUUGAUUCAGAUGUUUGAUAGUGAAUUUACCAUAUUCUUAUAGCUUUUUUUCUUUUUAGUGUACUUUUUUGUUGACAGGAGUGUUUGAGUCUGUCUCUCCCCAUGAAUUUAAAUUCUGAUCUUAGGGACUCUUGGAUUAGUACUGCAUACUGAAAUACCUGGUCAUUGCACUAAUAGUGCCAGCAUUCAACACUGAAUGUGAUUUGGAUGAAGCUUAAUCUAGUAAUUGCUUUUUGUAUUUCUGCUGAAGAUGCAAGAAGUUUAUGAAGUCUCUUUACAUGUUAUAGCCAGCACAGUACAUGAGGGAAAGGUCUCUAUAAAUACAUUAGAGAUUUCUCCUAACUUUCUGCUCCGUGCUUUUACCUUACUGCCACCUAAGGAUAACUGAUAGAAAAUACAUUGUAGUUCACGUUAGAGGAAUUUACUCUAAUAUGCUAGAUUUAAUGGCAGCAUUGUUAAUGUCUUUCUUUAAAGAUUUCCUACACUUUCAGAAGAUUUUCUUGAAGUUCAUACUUCUUAAGAAAAAAUAUGCUGGCUCACCUAAUUGCUUUUAUUUCUGGUCCUCUAAAGUAAGGCAUAUUGACUGUGAGUAACUCAGCUCUGUGUCAGUCAGAUGAUUAAUUUGAAUACAUGGACUUCCAGUACAGGCUGAAAGUAAGCAUUUUAUACAAUCUGCAGAGUCAGAUCAAAAUUCACCUUUAUCUGCAGAUGCAAGCUCUUUCCAGUACAGCAGCCCCUUGCUCUAAUGGCUGUAUGAGGGCUCUCUCAUUCCACCCUGAUCCUAACACUCCCACCAAGAGCAAGACCAAUUGAGGUCUGGCUAGGACUUACCCCCAGGUCUCCACCUUUGGCUGUCUGUCACAUGUUGGUAUUAAUACAGCCCUGAACAAGAAAGCUAGAGUCUGAUGGGUAGUCUUUUUGCUCAUAUAAUGAAUAUUAUGGAGCUGUUGCAAGCUGGGAUUGUUCCUGUACACUAUUUAUUUUGGAGGAGAAUAUGACAUUCUCCAGGAACAGAGCAGGUGCUGCUCUCCAUCCUCAGGCACCUGAGCUCAGUUUGAAGUCUACAAUGUUGUUACUUAAGGUGGGGGAUUAAUCAUGUUCAGAAAUAAGCAAAAGAUAUUUAACAACUAUCAAGCUGAAAUCAUAGAGUUACUGAAACUAAAGACUUUCUCAUACUUCACCUUGCUCAUAGGAGUUACUGGUUUUGUCUUGAGCAGUGAAAUAACCAGGAGUUUGUACCAUUGGGAUACUCAGGAGUUCAUUCCUGAAUGCCAGUAAAUGACUUGUUAAGCACUGAAGCAUCCAUCCUGGGAAAUGAUUUUUAUUAAAGUACUGCUUUAUUCAAGCAGUGCGGUUAACUUUCUACCUUAACAUAAGCUAACAGUAAUAGAAUCUGUUGUAAUUUAAUAUAUUCUCACAUCAAAUGGGUCUCAAGUUCAUUCUCCUUUGGAAUAUAACGGUAUAGACUUUGUUACACUUUUAACUAAAAUACCUAAGUUAGGUCUAGUAACACUGAGCAGCCAAGACGAGGCAAUACAGUAACUUUUUAAAUUUUUAAAUGUUCAUUGUACCAUAUCCAAGAAAGGCAUUACACAUUGCCAAACAGAUAAUUGGUUAUCCUGCUCAUAUAGUGCUUGAGAUCCUCUUCUUAAUGCUACCGUUCUCCUUUUCUUUUCUACCAACAACCAAAGCAGUUUGGAGUGGUGCAAAAGCUGCUCUAGCUAAAUAAUUGCAAAGGUUUGUAAAGGGCACACUUGCUGAUUCCCUUGUCCUUUCCACUGUGUUGCAGCAGUAUCACAGCAGUUCUUAUUCUUCUUGAAAAGAGAAUAAAUAAUGUUUGAAUAAAUUUGAGGACUAUUGUUUUUACAGCUUGGUACACAGAAUCUCAAAUAUUUAAGUAACAAGCUCUUCCUCCCAUGUAAAUGACUCUAUCAAAAGAUAUAAGUGUUUCUGAUCAUUUGUGCACAAAAUAUUUUUCAGAUCUUCAAGAAUUGCAUUUUUUUUAUUGCUUUUUAGUGGACAAAUAUUCUAGAAGUCUAAUAAAGUGUGAAAAAUAUUUUCAGACACUAUUAGGAAUGGAGUUUCAUAACAAGAACUGAAAAGCACUCUGCACAAGAACAUACUUCACGUACAGAACUCACCAAGAGAUGCAUAGGCAGAUGAGCAUGCCACCCUUGCUUUAUCUGGGAACAUCACAACUCCACGGACCUUUCAAUAGUAAUUUGAAGAGGACAAACAUUGAAUCCCAAGAGGUGCUGCCAACUCCAUGUGCGUUAUCUUUUCCGUUAUGAAUUCCUCAACUUCCGUCCAGUUUAUUUUUCUUUUUAAAACCAGUCAAGGAUAAGCCCAGGCUUUAUUUUUCAGUUUGAAGGUGAGGCUGGAAUUUGUUUUACUAUAGAGAGUUCUAGUGAGUUCACUAAUUUGGAUUUAAGGAAUUAAAAUAUAUUUAUUUUAUCAUCUGUUUUCAGUCUGGUUUUGGCCAGAUUGUUCAGUGACAUCAAGCAUUAUUGUUUGAAAGUCACUGGAAGACAGAAUUAUUUGUUUCUGCUCUUACAAAUAUAUGUAUAUAAAUAUACAUAUGUAUAUAUAUACAUACACACACAUAUUUCUGAGUUAAUUGUUCUAAAGAUCUGAAACAACUUUUAGUAUAUAUUCUAGUAUCACUGGAAGCCAGAAAAAAAAAGAGAGAGAAAAAUAAAAAAAAAGAACAUUAAUUUUCACAAACCAUAUGAUAAAAAACAUGUAAAAUUUAGUAUCUGAACAAUGCAGGGAUGGAGUGCUCGAAUGCGUUCUGAAGUGAGCAAUGACUGAAGUAAAUGCCCAUGUGAUGUGACUGAGAGUCUACAAGGAAAACAUCAGAAGGAAUGAAGCUGAGUCCCCAUACCAUCAGCAGCAGUAAAGUCUGCUUUUGUGGCUGACCUACGACAAUCACGAGACUGCAGUGAGUUUACCUGUGCUGUGCUGCGUUCCUCUCCAAGGAGCUGACGUGCUGGGCUGGUCUGUAAGGCACCGCAGCGACAACCCAACAGCAGCCCACCUCCUCCUACUGCCUGCCUGUCUGGGCCCCAGGAGCAUCAGGAAAGCAGGCAGGUGCACUGGGGAAGACAAAACCCCAGUAGGUGCCCGCAUGCCCUGUGGCUAAAGCCUUGCCCUCACCCUGCUGCCUGCCCCUGCGCCUCACUUGCUGUGCAUGAGGAGCAGUAGGUGGGUGCAGCUCCUCAGCCAGGACAGCAGAACUUUCCAGAUUCGGUUGACUUUCCUGGCUUUGCUUUGUUUUGCCACAUCCCUGGCCUAGCUGGUGAGCAAUACUAUCCUAGUGUUGAGCAUUUGAACUUAGGCUAGGAACAAAAAUGAUAAUGCUGCCUCAAAAUAAUUGCAUGUGAAUAUGAUUUAAAAACAAAACAAAACCUAUCUUGUAUUUCUGGCAUUAUGUGGCUCUUUGGACUUUCUCCAAGCCUGAUGAGAGUACUGGCUGAGAGCUGACCCAGUGUGAGAACUAGCCAGUACAGCUCUAUUUGUGACGGGAUUGCUCUGUAGCUCUUCGAAUACUUUCCAUCCCUGUGGGUACUGGCAAGGAAGAAGUAUGUAAGAGCAAGGCAAACACGUAAAGCUAUGGUGAGACUGAGAAAAACUAGUCUCAGUAUUACAUUCCUGAUGUCCAUGUCUUUUAUUCCAAUGAUCAUUAUCCAUUAAUAGCUUCACAAGUAUGAAUAAGUAAAUAGUUAGAGAAUGCAUUAUUCAUGAAUCACUAGGCAUUAAUUAUUGUAAUUAAGUAUCAUUUGCUACGUUCACAUUUCUAACCCUUGCAGUUAAUGAAUACAUUAGCUAAUUGCUGCAGUGCCAAUUCAAUCAAAAUUCUGUGCACCGGUGCUAUGGAAGCCUGAGAGAGUUUUACUGAAUUCAGAUUCAAUAUUGAACAUACCUUACAUGCUUAUCAGUGUAUUUUUAAUGACACUAAAUGUGAAUUGUAACCUCCGGUGCAUGACGCUUGUCCUUGUGCCCUGGAGGAUCAAAUGAUACCAGCUGGAAGCAACAGCAGCACACAUCAGAGAACACAGCAUUAGCUACCUAAAGCAGAACUUGUAUUCUGGGAUGUGAAAUCUAGCACUGCUUUCAAGUUUCAUGUAUAUUCACAAGUACAAUAGGAGAGGGCAAGCUUUGUGAGGAAGUGCUGUCCCAAAGGUGCAGCUGAUGAUAAUGCUCAAAAAACAAUUUUAAAGCACAUCCUGAGCUGUUUGCCAGUCAGCAUAGGGAUUGCGUUUGCCUUUUGCUAUGCACAGUCUGGUCUUUGGGGCCUAAUGGGACCUCAGAGCACUCUUGAAACACGAAGUAAAAUGAUCACAAACUUUGCAUUUAUUUUAUUUUACUCUCUGAAGAUGUAUUGCAGGUAAUAGUUGUCUAAGUAUUAGAGAAUGAUGACCUGCUGGAGUUUUUUGUGGCUAUUUUUUAGGCUAUAGUCACCAGUGGUUCUUGAAGGAGUAUUUUGAAGAACUUUUCAUUGCAAACAUUUAUAGGGAAAAUCACUAUAUGAAACUGCAAAAAUUAGAGUUCAAGAGCCAAAAGAUGAUUUAGACAAGUAGACCUCUGGGAGUCAGGCCAGGGAAAAUACUUGCAAUGGAAAAAAAAAAAAAAGAAAGGUGAAAGCUGAUUUAAUUCACUGUGAGUUUGAAGCACAUUUUUUGAUAUUUUUUGUUUUGCUAACUUAUUAUAGUCACAUAGCAUACAACACUGAACAAACUGUGUAUUGAAUCUAGUUUCUUAAAAAUUAAAUUAUCUGGGACUAAAAGAAUUCAAUAAGCAUUCAGCAUCAAGGAUUCUUUCACAAACACGUGGGUUCUUUUUGGCUAAGACUGUGAGAGAAUGCUGCUGGCAGAACUUGAAUUGCAGCAGCAGAGGAGCAUCACUUGGAACCUGUUUUUUAAGGGUCAGAAGUAAGAACUAUUGUCAGUACAGCAACUUGAAGUUUUCCAUUCUUUAUGUACACUUCCCCAGUGCAAAACUGCUCCUUUGUUUCCCACGCUUGUUAAAGAAUACCCUUUUGUUCCUCUCACAGCUGAUGCAGAUCCUUUUGCUCCCCCUUUUAGUACCUCAACCACUACUAUCUUUCCCCUCUUUUCAGAAAUCUUUCUUUUUUCUUCAAGCUCUAUCACUGUUACUUCUCAUUGCCCAUAUUUAUGAAUGACAGUUACUGAGAUGAAAAAACAUUUGAACUUUAGUGUCAAAAUACAGAGGGAUCCAUUACUGCUAGUAUUAGUGUUCAUAUCAUCACAAGCCAUACCUCCCAAGACAGUGAACUUGCUUGUUUGCUUCCAUUCAUCUAUGAAGAUCUUGCUGCUAUAUCUUAGUUUUAAACAUUGAAAUCUUUAACCUCUUGUAUCCUAAAAAAUCUUUGCAAUUGGAUGUACUUACAAAAAAACUAGUGCUUAGCAAAGCUUUUUUUCAUCUUUGCUUCUAAAGCUGUUUCU